GUGAAUCAUCAAAUUUUUGAACGCAAAUUGCGCUUCCUAGCAUCCCGGGAAGUAUGCCUGUUCGAGGGUCAGUAUUAACAAAAACGUCGGUUUGGUUGCAAAUUGUGACGUUUCCGGAGUUUGGGCUAUCUUAACCUUUUUGGUUAAGGGGCAUAAAAUUGACCUUUUUUGCGCGUCUUUAGCCGUACAUAAUUUUUUUAUUUAUUUGUCUAUUCUUAAUG
rnacentral:misc_RNA from 1 species